UCAGCCGCCGCGGUAAUACCAGCACCUCGAGUGGUCAGGACGUUUAUUGGGCCUAGAGCAUCCGUAGCCGGCUUUGCAAGUCUUCGGUUAAAUCCACCUGCUCAACAGAUGGGCCGCUGGAGAUACUACAAAGCUAGGGAGUGGGAGAGGCAGACGGUAUUCAGUGGGUAGGGGUAAAAUCCUCUGAUCCAUUGAGGACCACCAGUGGCGAAGGCGGUCUGCCAGAACACGUUCGACGGUGAGGGAUGAAAGCUGGGGGAGCAAACCGGGUUAGAUACCCGGGUAGUCCCAGCUGUAAACGAUGCAAACUCGGUGAUGCAUUGGCUUAUGGCCAAUGCAGUGCCGCAGGGAAGCCGUUAAGUUUGCCGCCUGGGAAGUACGGACGC
rnacentral:rRNA from 1 species